rnacentral:rRNA from 1 species
UACGGAGGGUGCAAGCGUUGUUCGGAAUUAUUGGGCGUAAAGAGCGUGUAGGCGGUCGGGUAAGUCAGAUGUGAAAUCCCUUGGCUUAACCAAGGAAGUGCAUUUGAAACUGCCCGGCUUGAGUACGGGAGGGGGAAGUGGAAUUCCCGGUGUAGAGGUGAAAUUCGUAGAUAUCGGGAGGAACACCGGUGGCGAAGGCGGCUUCCUGGACCGAUACUGACGCUGAGACGCGAAAGCGUGGGGAGCAAAC